rnacentral:rRNA from 1 species
AAACCUUACCUACCCUUGACAUGGUCGGAAUCCCGAAGAGAUUUGGGAGUGCUCGAAAGAGAACCGAUACACAGGUGCUGCAUGGCUGUCGUCAGCUCGUGUCGUGAGAUGUUGGGUUAAGUCCCGCAACGAGCGCAACCCUUGUCCUUAGUUGCUACGCAAGAGCACUCUAAGGAGACUGCCGGUGACAAACCGGAGGAAGGUGGGGAUGACGUCAAGUCCUCAUGGCCCUUAUGGGUAGGGCUUCACACGUCAUACAAUGGUCGGAACAGAGGGUCGCCAACCCGCGAGGGGGAGCUAAUCCCAGAAAACCGAUCGUAGUCCGGAUUGCACUCUGCAACUCGAGUGCAUGAAGCUGGAAUCGCUAGUAAUCGCGGAUC